AUUGAACGCUGGCGGCAUGCCUUACACAUGCAAGUCGAACGGCAGCACGGGGCAACCUGGUGGCGAGUGGCGAACGGGUGAGUAAUGCAUCGGAACGUACCUUUCAGUGGGGGAUAACGUAGCGGAAGUUACGCUAAUACCGCAUAUUCUGUGAGCAGGAAAGCAGGGGAUCGCAAGACCUUGCGCUGAUUGAGCGGCCGAUGUCAGAUUAGCUAGUUGGUGAGAUAAAGGCUCACCAAGGCGACGAUCUGUAGCGGGUCUGAGAGGAUGAUCCGCCACACUGGAACUGAGACACGGUCCAGACUCCUACGGGAGGCAGCAGUGGGGAAUUUUGGACAAUGGGGGCAACCCUGAUCCAGCCAUGCCGCGUGAGUGAAGAAGGCCUUCGGGUUGUAAAGCUCUUUCGGCCGGGAAGAAAUCGCACGGGCUAAUACCCUGUGUGGAUGACGGUACCGGAAUAAGAAGCACCGGCUAACUACGUGCCAGCCGCCGCUGUAACAC
rnacentral:rRNA from 1 species